rnacentral:rRNA from 1 species
GACGAACGCUGGCGGCGUGCUUAACACAUGCAAGUCGAACGGAAAGGCCCUUCGGGGUACUCGAGUGGCGAACGGGUGGGUAACACGUGGGUGAUCUGCCCUGCACUUUGGGAUAAGCCUGGGAAACUGGGUCUAAUACCGAAUAGGACCACGCGCUUCAUGGUGUGUGGUGGAAAGCUUUUGCGGUGUGGGAUGGGCCCGCGGCCUAUCAGCUUGUUGGUGGGGUAAUGGCCUACCAAGGCGACGACGGGUAGCCGGCCUGAGAGGGUGACCGGCCACACUGGGACUGAGAUACGGCCCAGACUCCUACGGGAGGCAGCAGUGGGGAAUAUUGCACAAUGGGCGCAAGCCUGAUGCAGCGACGCCGCGUGAGGGAUGACGGCCUUCGGGUUGUAAACCUCUUUCAAUAGGGACGAAGCGCAAGUGACGGUACCUAUAGAAGAAGCACCGGCCAACUACGUG